UUGGAUCCGCAGUUUCGGAGUGGCGAGCUCGCGUUUGUCAGUGAUUCGCAAACCGUUGGUGAACGCGUUCAACCCGUCCCGUCGCGCGUCGCGUAUAGAUUAUACAUAUUCGCGUCGAAGCUGUCCCAAAGUCCGCGUCCUGAGUUCCGAACAAUCCGUCGAGAAGUAGAGAAGCUCAGACUCGGCUUAAGGGCAGCUAGUAAACGAUCUGGGAAUGGCUUUCAACGGCGAUGGACCGCACUCGAAGAGGCAACGUCUCGAGGAGUCGGGGCACAGGAAUCACGAGUACGGAGGUUACGGAGAUGAGCCACGAAGAAAGAGGGAGGACAAUAACAAGCCCAACCACGUCCUGCUGUUCACAGUAAUCAACCCCGUUUAUCCAAUUACGGUGGAAGUUCUUCACACAAUAAGCGUACCGAGCGGUCAAGUACAGAGAAUCGUUAUAUUCAAGAAAAAUGGCGUACAAGCGAUGGUGGAGUUUGAUUCUGUCGAGUCAGCAACACGAGCGAAGGACACCCUCCAUGGCGCCGACAUCUACUCAGGUUGCUGCACCCUGAAGAUCGAUUACGCCAAGCCUACCAAACUGAACGUGUACAAGAACGACGCCGAGAGCUGGGACUACACAACACCGACGUUAGGCACCAGCGCCCACAAAAACGACACGGCGGGCAAUGGAAGGCCUGCGCCUCUACUGGCAGAGCCUAGAUAUGGUGCAGCACCGCAGCCAUAUGGUUCCACGCCGCAAGUCGCAUUCCCACCUGGGGCCACCCAUGAUCGUUAUGAAGAGGGUUUCAAUGGCCCUGCAACGUAUCCUGAACCAUACGUAGAACGAUAUGGGCUUAAGAAUGAUUUUGGUGGUCGAGAACCACUUCACCCGACUCCACCUCGUCCAGGAUACGUACCAACACUUGGACAGACACCGCCAUCCACCACACAAGGCUCCGUCAUGAUGGUUUACGGACUUCAACCUGAUAAAGUGAAUACAGACAAGCUAUUCAACUUGUUCUGUCUUUACGGGAACGUUACAAAGGUGAAAUUUCUGAAAACUAAAGAAGGCUGUGCGAUGAUUCAAAUGGGCGAUAGUAUAGGUGUUGAAAGGUGUCUACAGAAUUUAAACAAUGUUACAAUCGGUGCUGAGGGCAAACUGCAGCUUGGUUUUUCAAAACAGGCAUUUCUCUCCGAUGUCACAAAUCCUUACAGCCUGCCUGACAAAACGGCCAGCUUCAAAGAUUUUACAGGGAGCAAGAAUAACAGAUUCUUAAACCCGGCAAUGGCAAAUAAAAAUAGGAUACAGCCACCAUCGAAAAUAGUUCAUUUCUUCAAUACACCUCCGGAUCUCACUGAGGAGACGGUAAAUCGCGUAUUUAUGGAACGUGGCAUAGAAACGCCAACUACAGUUAAACUGUUCCCACUAAAGUCCGAACGUUCUUCAUCCGGACUUAUCGAAUUCAGCAGUGUUGGAGUAGCGGUAGCAGCAAUCAUGGAGUGCAACCAUACAGCACUUGAAAACAGCAAUGGAAAGUUUCCUUACAUCAUGAAGCUCUGCUUCUCAUCAUCGCGCACCAUACCGACCAACUUUCCACCAAGCAGUAGCGGAGUAGCGAGUAAUUCAUCUGGGAAUGGGCACAUCAAAAUGCAGCAGGAUUCCGAAUAGAACGGAGAAACCCAGGGCCAGCGUCAGCGCCAGCGCCAGCGCCCCUCUAUUGCCCUGCAUCCUAUAUGCGCCGCUCCCAUGCCGGCUCUGCAUCCCGCAACGAUUGCUCUUUCUCCGGUUCCUACCCCUCUGCCACCCGCAUGCCUUCUUAUCGCUGCGCCUGCCCUGUACCCUGCUGUCCCUCCACCUCCUCCUCCCCCGCUUCCGGCAUUUUGGCCAUACUGAAACCAGGUUCAUUAGUUGGUUAACGGGUGGAAAGAAAGUUGGCGGUAGAUUGGGGAAGUGAUGAUCUGCGAUGACAAGACUUUUGGGCGUGUGGAAGAAUUUGAUAUUUAGUCGAUGUUUAAACAAUUGACUUUUGGCAUAACUGUUGUGUGUAACAGUGCAUUGAGAUAAGCAUUAUACCUAGAUGCUUUAGAAUUUAUUCCAAAGGAUUACAUAUCUUAUAUUUAGGACUAUCGGCGGAACCCUUGCUUGUAAUUCGCUGCAUGAUCCAGGGAAGGUGUAGAAAAUUAGAAUAAUAUUAAUUUAGCCACAUAUCAAACGGGGACGUAACGACGGGAAAUAUUUAUUGAAAUUCAUCUGUCGCAGAUCAAACGAGAGACACGACACUUCCUUCUUUCCGUUCACCUGUAAUGAAAAUUUGGUGAAUAACGUCUUAUACAUGGCAGUGAUGUUGAAAGGAAUUGAUUCUUUGCGCUGGUUUAACCUUAUGUAAGAUAAAACUAAUCUGCUCUUAUGUUACAUAUUGAUAAUCUUCCCAUCAUUUAUGAAGCAAUUUUUCACAUCUCUAAAUGAGAUAACUUCGUAAAUGUGAAAUCACGGUAAUUGUCGAGUAACGGUUAUCAACAACUUAGGGACCUUUUUUUUUUUUGGGGGGGUUUUUCAAUUAAUUUUUGUAAAUUUUGGAACAAAUGGGUGUGGAUUUUCCUAAAGCAACUGUUGCAUGAAAAUACAAUAAACUUUUUCAAUAAAGAAAAAUGUGUUAUUGCAUGAAAUAUCGACAUUUUUCAACUAUAUCUCCAAAUAUUGGAGAAACCUCACCAAGCUUCAAACAAAUCUCAAGUGUCGAGAUGUGAAAGUUUGUCAAUGCCAGUGGAAGAAUUCGUUUGGAAAUAAAAAUCUUUUGCAUGGAUUUUAUAUCAUGGGACCUGAUAAAUAAUAAAAACAAAAGUAUAUAUAUCCGUCUAUGAAGGAGAUUAAUCGGGUUUGUCCGUUAUUAUUAGAUUCCUUUGAUAUAGCUUGGAACCGUUGUAUCAGUGCUCUCUAUGAUGCAAAAAGAUUGGGGAUUAGACGCGUUAGUAAUGAAAACGAAAGUUUUUUUUUUUAAAUUAAACAUUAAACAAGACUGCUGUUUAUAAGAAUGUCAAGUUGACCAGAAUCUCGCCACGACAUUGUUCCUAAGAAACGAAAACAAUCCCUCAGCUGUAGUGUUCAAGUUGCGAGGACUAGACUUGUUGCCGAAAACCUUGAUGAAAAAAAAGAACCACGGUUGUUACAUGACCUGAAAAUCCUGGAAACUUGGAAUUCUCAGGGAAUUACGCAGAUGUGCUGGAAAUUUUUAUUUUUCAAUAGAAGUUUACUGAUUUUUCUUUUUUUUUUUUAUAUACAGAAUGACUUCUUGUGUCGUUAUUUAAAAGGUAGUUUUCUCAACAUGUUCAAUAAGACCACUGCAUUCGUACAAGUUGAUCGUGAAUUCAAGUUCCGCAUACUGGAUAUUUUUAAUAUGAUUAUUGAUGGCAUAAAGUACGAUUUAAUGAAAAUUUUAAACAAUGCAAUUUUGAUAACAGGUUGAAACAAACAGUAGUUUUUCUCUUAUAAAAUUCGGCUUUAUUGACUAGAGCUCUAUGUAGCGCCGUAGAUGUUUAAGUGUUACAAGCAUGUGGUAUAAAUCUCAAACCAAGUGAAAUAACCAUGAUUGAGUUGUGAUUUCCAUAGAUUGAGUAUUUAUAUGAGUUGAAUAAAUUAAGUCACUUGAAUUA
rnacentral:misc_RNA from 1 species